rnacentral:rRNA from 1 species
AUACAGAGGGUGCGAGCGUUAAUCGGAAUUACUGGACGUAAGGCGCGCGUAGGCGGCUUGGUCAGUCGGAUGUGAAAGCCCUGGGCUCAACCUGGGAACUGCAUUCGAAACUGGCUGACUAGAGUAUGGUAGAGGGUGGUGGAAUUCCUAGUGUAGCGGUGAAAUGCGUAGAUAUUAGGAGGAACAUCAGUGGCGAAGGCGACCACCUGGACCAAUACUGACGCUGAGGUGCGAAAGCGUGGGGAGCAAACAGGAUUAGAAACCCCAGUAGUCC